GGAGACGCUACGGACUUGAAAAUCCGUUGGCUUUAUUGACCGUGAGGGUUCAAGUCCCUCUACCCCCA
rnacentral:tRNA from 1 species